AUGCAAGCAGGCGGGCAGGAGGCAGGCAGGCGGGCAUGCAGGCAGGCGGGCAGGAGGCAGGCAGGAGGCAGGCAGGCGGGUAAGCAGGCAGGAGGCGGGCAGGCCGGCAAGCAGGCAGGCAGGCCGGCGGGCAGGCGGGCGGGCAGGCAGGCGGGCAAGCAGGCCGGCAGGAGGCAGGCGGGCGGGCGGGCAGCAGGCAGGAGGCAGGCGGGCAAGCAGGCCGGCAGCAGGCAGGCGGGCAGGCAGGCGGGCAGGCCGGCAGGAGGGAGGCAGGCAGGCGGGCAGGCCGGCGCCGCGCGUCCCCUCCUCCCCCUCCCCUCCCCUCCAGCCGCCCCGAGGACGAGCGCGCCCGCGCCCGCGCCCCCGCCAGGCCACCCCUCCGCCGGCCGGGGACGCGGCCCUCCAGGCGGGCGGGGGGCGCAGCGCGCGCGUCCCCGGCGCUCCCGGCGCUCCCCGGCCCGCCCCGGCCGGCCCCCUCCCGCCUUCCCCUCCCCCUCCCCCUCCCGCGCGGCGCCCCACGGCCUGCGCGCUGCCGAGGCGCUGCCGCCCGCCCGGACGCCGCCGCGCUCCCCGAGGCGCGCCCCUACCUGCCGGGCGCGGCCUCCCGCGGCCUCCCCCGCCGCGCGGCGCCUCCUCCAGGCCCCAGCGCCCCGUGCCAAGCCUGGGGCCGCCGCUGCCCUGCCGGGACCGAGGCAAGUUUACAAACACCAACCCGGGGCCCGUUUCCCCGGAAGCACUUCCCCCUCCCCCGCGCCCCCUCAGCCGAGCAGCGAUAUCCACUUCCGGGCUCGGAGCCGGGGACCGGCGGGAGCAGCCAGAAAGGGGGUGAGGCCGAGGACGCUGGGAGGGGGCGCCGCCGGCGAGGGGGCGGGGCCGGCGCGCGGGAGGACGGGAAAGGGGGCGGGCCGGCGGCGGCGCGCGUGCGCCGUGCCGUGGGCGCGCCCCCCGGCGGCCAUCUUGGCUGAGGGCAGGAACGGAGACCGUCAGGUGACGCGCGCCAGGUGCGCUUUGAGGGUUCUGCUAGGUGGGUCGGUUAAGGCUCGUUGGGGACGCGCCUUGGCCUCCCUCGCUCGCCGACCGUCUCCCUGUCGCUUCUGA
rnacentral:lncRNA from 1 species